GGGUUGUGAGGUUAAGCGACUAAGCGUACACGGUGGAUGCCCUGGCAGUCAGAGGCGAUGAAGGACGUGCUAAUCUGCGAUAAGCGUCGGUGAGGUGAUAUGAACCGUUAUAACCGGCGAUUUCCGAAUGGGGAAACCCAGUGUGUUUCGACACACUAUCAUUAACUGAAUCCAUAGGUUAAUGAGGCGAACCGGGGGAACUGAAACAUCUAAGUACCCCGAGGAAAAGAAAUCAACCGAGAUUCCCCCAGUAGCGGCGAGCGAACGGGGAGGAGCCCAGAGCCUGAAUCAGUGUGUGUGUUAGUGGAAGCGUCUGGAAAGGCGCGCGAUACAGGGUGACAGCCCCGUACACAAAAAUGCACAUAUUGUGAGCUCGAUGAGUAGGGCGGGACACGUGGUAUCCUGUCUGAAUAUGGGGGGACCAUCCUCCAAGGCUAAAUACUCCUGACUGACCGAUAGUGAACCAGUACCGUGAGGGAAAGGCGAAAAGAACCCCGGCGAGGGGAGUGAAAAAGAACCUGAAACCGUGUACGUACAAGCAGUGGGAGCCUCUUAAUGGGGUGACUGCGUACCUUUUGUAUAAUGGGUCAGCGACUUAUAUUCUGUAGCAAGGUUAACCGAAUAGGGGAGCCGAAGGGAAACCGAGUCUUAACUGGGCGUUAAGUUGCAGGGUAUAGACCCGAAACCCGGUGAUCUAGCCAUGGGCAGGUUGAAGGUUGGGUAACACUAACUGGAGGACCGAACCGACUAAUGUUGAAAAAUUAGCGGAUGACUUGUGGCUGGGGGUGAAAGGCCAAUCAAACCGGGAGAUAGCUGGUUCUCCCCGAAAGCUAUUUAGGUAGCGCCUCGUGAAUUCAUCUCCGGGGGUAGAGCACUGUUUCGGCAAGGGGGUCAUCCCGACUUACCAACCCGAUGCAAACUGCGAAUACCGGAGAAUGUUAUCACGGGAGACACACGGCGGGUGCUAACGUCCGUCGUGAAGAGGGAAACAACCCAGACCGCCAGCUAAGGUCCCAAAGUCAUGGUUAAGUGGGAAACGAUGUGGGAAGGCCCAGACAGCCAGGAUGUUGGCUUAGAAGCAGCCAUCAUUUAAAGAAAGCGUAAUAGCUCACUGGUCGAGUCGGCCUGCGCGGAAGAUGUAACGGGGCUAAACCAUGCACCGAAGCUGCGGCAGCGACGCUUAUGCGUUGUUGGGUAGGGGAGCGUUCUGUAAGCCUGUGAAGGUGGCCUGUGAGGGUUGCUGGAGGUAUCAGAAGUGCGAAUGCUGACAUAAGUAACGAUAAAGCGGGUGAAAAGCCCGCUCGCCGGAAGACCAAGGGUUCCUGUCCAACGUUAAUCGGGGCAGGGUGAGUCGACUCCUAAGGCGAGGCCGAAAGGCGUAGUCGAUGGGAAACAGGUUAAUAUUCCUGUACUUGGUGUUACUGCGAAGGGGGGACGGAGAAGGCUAUGUUGGCCGGGCGACGGUUGUCCCGGUUUAAGCGUGUAGGCUGGUUUUCCAGGCAAAUCCGGAAAACCAAGGCUGAGGCGUGAUGACGAGGCACUACGGUGCUGAAGUGACAAAUGCCCUGCUUCCAGGAAAAGCCUCUAAGCAUCAGGUAACAUCAAAUCGUACCCCAAACCGACACAGGUGGUCAGGUAGAGAAUACCAAGGCGCUUGAGAGAACUCGGGUGAAGGAACUAGGCAAAAUGGUGCCGUAACUUCGGGAGAAGGCACGCUGAUAUGUAGGUGAAGCGACUUGCUCGUGGAGCUGAAAUCAGUCGAAGAUACCAGCUGGCUGCAACUGUUUAUUAAAAACACAGCACUGUGCAAACACGAAAGUGGACGUAUACGGUGUGACGCCUGCCCGGUGCCGGAAGGUUAAUUGAUGGGGUUAGCGGUAACGCGAAGCUCUUGAUCGAAGCCCCGGUAAACGGCGGCCGUAACUAUAACGGUCCUAAGGUAGCGAAAUUCCUUGUCGGGUAAGUUCCGACCUGCACGAAUGGCGUAAUGAUGGCCAGGCUGUCUCCACCCGAGACUCAGUGAAAUUGAACUCGCUGUGAAGAUGCAGUGUACCCGCGGCAAGACGGAAAGACCCCGUGAACCUUUACUAUAGCUUGACACUGAACAUUGAGCCUUGAUGUGUAGGAUAGGUGGGAGGCUUUGAAGUGUGGACGCCAGUCUGCAUGGAGCCGACCUUGAAAUACCACCCUUUAAUGUUUGAUGUUCUAACGUUGGCCCGUAAUCCGGGUUGCGGACAGUGUCUGGUGGGUAGUUUGACUGGGGCGGUCUCCUCCUAAAGAGUAACGGAGGAGCACGAAGGUUGGCUAAUCCUGGUCGGACAUCAGGAGGUUAGUGCAAUGGCAUAAGCCAGCUUGACUGCGAGCGUGACGGCGCGAGCAGGUGCGAAAGCAGGUCAUAGUGAUCCGGUGGUUCUGAAUGGAAGGGCCAUCGCUCAACGGAUAAAAGGUACUCCGGGGAUAACAGGCUGAUACCGCCCAAGAGUUCAUAUCGACGGCGGUGUUUGGCACCUCGAUGUCGGCUCAUCACAUCCUGGGGCUGAAGUAGGUCCCAAGGGUAUGGCUGUUCGCCAUUUAAAGUGGUACGCGAGCUGGGUUUAGAACGUCGUGAGACAGUUCGGUCCCUAUCUGCCGUGGGCGCUGGAGAACUGAGGGGGGCUGCUCCUAGUACGAGAGGACCGGAGUGGACGCAUCACUGGUGUUCGGGUUGUCAUGCCAAUGGCACUGCCCGGUAGCUAAAUGCGGAAGAGAUAAGUGCUGAAAGCAUCUAAGCACGAAACUUGCCCCGAGAUGAGUUCUCCCUGAGACUUUAAGUCUCCUGAAGGAACGUUGAAGACGACGACGUUGAUAGGCCGGGUGUGUAAGCGCAGCGAUGCGUUGAGCUAACCGGUACUAAUGAACCGUGAGGCUUAACCUUACAACGCCGAAGGUGUUU
rnacentral:rRNA from 1 species